AUGGCCCCCCCAACCGCGCAGGGGUGGGGGCCGGUGGGGGGAGGACAGUAGAUCCCCUCCCCUCAUUAUCUUUAUGGCCCCCACCCACCGCUCAAGGGUGGGGGCUGGGGGUGUUGGACAGUAGGUCCCCCCAUUGUAAUUUAUGGCCCCCCCAACCGCGCGGGGGUGGGGGCCAGUGGGGGGAGGACAGUAGGUCCCCUCCCCUCAUUAUCUUUAUGGCCCCCACCCACCGCCCAG